rnacentral:rRNA from 1 species
GACGAACGCUGGCGGCGUGCUUAACACAUGCAAGUCGAACGGAAAGGCCUCUUUCGGGGGGUACUCGAGUGGCGAACGGGUGAGUAGCACGUGAGUAACCUGCCCUUGACUUUGGGAUAACUUCAGGAAACUGGGGCUAAUACCGGAUAGGAGCUCCUGCUGCAUGGUGGGGGUUGGAAAGUUUCGGCGGUUGGGGAUGGACUCGCGGCUUAUCAGCUUGUUGGUGGGGUAGUGGCUUACCAAGGCUUUGACGGGUAGCCGGCCUGAGAGGGUGACCGGCCACAUUGGGACUGAGAUACGGCCCAGACUCCUACGGGUGGCAGCAGUGGGGAAUAUUGCACAAUGGGUGGAAGCCUGAUGCAGCAACGCCGUGUGCGGGAUGACGGCCUUCGGGUUGUAAACCGCUUUCGCUCAUGACGAAGCUUUGUGUGACGGUAGUGGGUAAAGAAGCACCGGCUAACUACGUG